rnacentral:rRNA from 1 species
UAGGGAAUUUUCGGCAAUGGGGGCAACCCUGACCGAGCAACGCCGCGUGAACGACGAAGUACUUCGGUAUGUAAAGUUCUUUUAUCAGGGAAGAAUGGCUUACGGAAAAGUGAGCGUGACGGUACCUGAUGAAUAAGCCCCGGCUAACUAUGUGCCAGCAGCCGCGGUAAUACAUAGGGGGCAAGCGUUAUCCGGAAUUAUUGGGCGUAAAGGGUGCGUAGGUGGCCGUUUAAGUCUUUGGUGUAAGUGCAAGGCUCAACCUUGUGAUGCUAAAGAAACUGGAUGGCUUGAGUGUGGUAGAGGCAAGUGGAAUUCCAUGUGUAGCGGUAAAAUGCGUAAAUAUAUGGAGGAACACCGGUGGCGAAGGCGGCUUGCUGGGCCACAACUGACACUGAGGCACGAAAGCGUGGGGAGCAAACAGGAUUAGAUACCCUGGUAGUCCACGCCGUAAACGAUGAGUACUAAGUGUAGGGGAAACUCUGUGCUGUAG